rnacentral:misc_RNA from 1 species
AAAUGGCGCGAAAGUAACCGGAAAUUAAAAGUAUGUUGCAUUCUGGGAUACUCCUCAACUGCGCAUGGCAUUAGUAAUCAUACCAAAAUGGCGGAUUGGGACGAUGAAAAUUUCGAGCCGACAGGUUUUGAUGACAAAUCAAACACCGAUAAAUGGGAAGGCGAGGACGAAGAAGACGACUCGGUGAAGGACAACUGGGAUGAUGAUGAUGAGAGUGAAGAAAAGAAAAACGAAGUAGAUGAAGUUACAACUGCAGCAAAAGCAACCAAAAAGAAGCGGACAUUAAAAGAAGCAAUAAAAGAAAAAGAAGCCAAGAAAUUAGAAGAACAGAAGUUGAAAGAAGAAAUGAGAAAGAAAAUGGAGGAGGAGGAGGAAUCUGAACCUAUGACUCAAGAAGAAAUAAUGGCAGAGAAAUUACGGCAACAAAAAUUAGUUGAAGAUUCAGAUUUACUAUUAGCUAUGGAUACAUUUGGAAGCAGUAAAGAAGAAAUAACAGGAAAGAAAAGUUUAGAUUCAAUGAACCCNUCAACACGGGAAGAAUUUACAGAAUAUAGUAAAUUACUGGUUGAUAAGCUUUCUAAAUUUGAAUCCAAUGUAGUUUAUGUGCAAUUCCUAGAAGAUACUUUAAGAGAUUUAUGCGCAAGCAUGGAAGCUGAUGAUAUCAAAAAAUUAUCUCAUUGUUUAAACCUUCUACAUACAGAAAAGAUUAAAGCACAAAAGGGCAAAACAAAAGGCAAAACCAAACCAAAGAAAGUAGNUUUGACCGGAGGAAAAGCAGGCAAGAAAGAUGAUAUGGAUUACAAUGAUUAUGGAAAUGAAUUUGAUGAUUUUAUGUAGAAAAUCCCCACAAACUGUCAAAUCACUAAUGGUAUUAAAAAAGUUGGAAAUNUCUGUUCUCAUCGCAACAAAUUUGUUGCACAUCUAUACUGAACAUUACAAGACAACUGUACAACUAGAUAGUAUGCUGCCACUUCCUAGUUUCUUUUGAUAUUCAAAGGAUGCAGUAUCUAGAAUGCUAAAGAAAAUAUAUUAAUAAUUAUAAAAGCAUUCAAAGUGGGAAACUUCAUAAUGGUUGAGAUCAAUAACAAUGCAUAUUAUCUACUUUUACAGUAUCCAACUUUAUUAAUAGAUUAUUUUCUUAGGUUAGCAAUAAAAUUGAAAACUAAUGAUAUAAGAAUUGGUCUUGUAUUCAUAAACAUCGAAAGCUUUUCUACUAUCAUUUGAAAUGCCUUCAUGCUGGUACUUUUCACUUGAUUGACAGGAAAACAAUGUGUAUUCUUAUUUUCUUAGCAACAUCACUAAGGUGUAAUAAAAUAAAUUAUGACCAACA